UUAUGGCUCAGGAUGAACGCUGGCGGCGUGCUUAACACAUGCAAGUCGAACGGAGUUUAGAUGAAACCUAGUGAUUCUAAACUUAGUGGCGGACGGGUGAGUAACGCGUGGGUAACCUGCCCUAUACAGGGGGAUAACAGUUGGAACGACUGCUAACACCGCAUGACAUCGCGAGAGCGCAUGAUCUUGCGAUCAAAUAUUUAUAGGUAUAGGAUGGGCCCGCGUCUGAUUAGCUGGUUGGUGAGGUAACGGCCACCAAGGCGACGAUCAGUAGCCGUACUGAGAGGUAGAACGGCCACAUUGGGACUGAGACACGGCCCAAACUCCUACGGGAGGCAGCAGUGGGGAAUAUUGGUCAAUGGGGGGAAACCCUGAACCAGCGAACCGGCCGCGUGAGUGAAGAAGUAUUUCGGUAUGUAAAGCUCUAUCAGCAGGGACGAUGAUGACGGUACCUGACUAAGAAGCCCCGGCUAACUACGUGCCAGCAGCAGC
rnacentral:rRNA from 1 species